AUGAACAUUAUAUACGGCGUGUUGUACUGCAUGUUACUAUGGCUGUUUCAAUACGCAAGUUGUAACUUAUUAACAAAAUUUAAUCCGUUGUUGGUUGAAAAUAAAGAGUUAUAUGAUGAAUUUAUUUAUACAUGUGAGUACUCAGGAAUUAUAAACACAAAUGAUAAAAUAGUAGUAUACUAUUGUUUUUCUAUAAGUAAUCAAAAAAGUAGUUUAAUUUUAAGAUCUUUCGAACCCAAUACACAUAAGUGGGGCCAACCCAAUAUAGUAUUGGAAGUACAAAAAUUAAUAGAUAGAUUUAUAUUUAUGUGUGAUUAUGUAUUAAAAAAGUUAAUACUUGUUUGUGUUACUGAAGAAAGUACUAUCUCCGCUGUAUUUAAUGAAUACAUAAAUCCUGAUAAAAAUAUUGUUCAAAUAAACUUAAGUAACGAGAUAGAUAUUUUAUUUAAUAUGGUUGGAGAUGUUACAUAUAUAUAUGAACAACAAAAGUCUAUUUAUUUUUGUGGAUUUAAUAAAAAAAAAAAUAUUAUAUGUUUUUUUUCUUUUGAUUAUGGAUUAACAUUAAGAGAUCAAAACAUAGAAUUUAUAUUACCAACAAAUACAAUCGAACCAAAUGUUUAUUUAUGUAUUAUUUUUAUUAAUUAUGAUACAAUAUAUUUCAAUCUUUAUUUUGAUCCUAAGAAACUAUUUUUUGAAUUAAAGUGUAUACCACAAAACAAAGGAAAUUAUACAUACGUAUGUGAAAUAAUAAAUAAAGUUGUAAAAGAUAAAAAAGAAGUUGAAUAUAAAUAUUUUUUAAGAAAUUCUGAUUAUCAGACAAUAAUUUUUACAGAAAAUAACAAAUGUUAUAUAGGAUGGUUGUUAAAUUCAGUUAGUAUAAACAAUGAUAUUAUUAAAGAGAUUAGUGACAAACCAUGUUCUAAUGUAUCAGCGAUUAUAGUCGGUGAAAGUUUGUUUGCUACGUAUGCAGUAGCAUCUAACGUUAAUGAAUUUGUAAAUUAUUACUUCAUAAUCGAGGUAAAAAAAAAUAAACAAAUAAAAAAUAAUUAA
rnacentral:lncRNA from 1 species